rnacentral:rRNA from 1 species
AUUGAACGCUGGCGGCAGGCCUAACACAUGCAAGUCGAACGAGUGGCGGACGGGUGAGUAAUGUCUGGGAAACUGCCUGCUGGAGGGGGAUAACUACUGGAACCGGUAGCUAAUACCGCAUACCAUCGGAUGUGCCCAGAUGGGAUUAGCUAGUAGGUGGGGUAAAGGCCUACCUAGGCGACGAUCCCUAGCUGGUCUGAGAGGAUGACCGGCCACCCUGGAACGUAGAGACGGUCCAGCCUCCUACGUGAUGCAGCGGUGGGGAAUAUUGCACAAUGGGCGAAAGCCUGAUGCAGCCAUGCCGCGUGUAUGAAGAAGGGCUGCGGGUUGUAGAGUACUUACAGCGGGGAGGCGUUACCCGCAGAAGAAGCACCGGCUAACUCCGUGCCAGCAGCCGCGGUAAUAC